GCAAACAAAAAUGAAGUCUAUGCAUCCAAGUGGGACAAGCGAACACAUAUGAUAACUUUCUUUCAUACUGGAGCAGCCUCUUUGCUCACGAAUCCAAUUGUCCUUCCAGAUGAAUGAAUAUUGGGCCGUAUUUCAAGAAUUUCAACACAGAAUCACCAAGCACCCGAUAACCAUUUGAAUUAUGUUGCUGGACGAUCCUGGAAUGGUAAAUAUCAGUUUCAAGUAAGUUUACACCAUAGAAUCACUAAGAAAUAAACUGAUAAUGUUGUUGGAAUCAAAAUACAUAGACAGGAAAGAACAACUUCUGCAAAGAGCGAUCAACUUCUUAUUUUGCCUGAGUGUACCUUAUGGUACUCUCCUUCAACUCAUCGUUUUGUCUGCAAUGCAUAAACCAAUUGUAAUUAGCACCAAAGAUAUCCAAGAAAAGAGCUGUCAAAGAAAAAUUCUUUGAAACGAAAAAUUACUUGAUGCUAUAUACUUUCUAUGCGUAAUUUGCAUAGGUUUUUAUUAAUGCUUUUCUAGAUGAAAAUGUUUAACCUUUGUUGUGCACACGAACAAUAAGGUCAUCAUUUCCCCAGCUUUGUUGCUCUUCUUGUAUUGGCUUUGCCAAAUCAAUAACAGAAAGCCGACAUCGCUGUAGUUCAAUCAGCUGUAGUGUCUGAAUACCAGAGGUCCUAAAUCAAAUAGAGCAACAAGUAAGUAUUUUUUUUUGGCUAAUGGUUUCAUUCCCAGACUAAGGAGAAAGAAGACACAGCAUCGGGGAAUAGCUCUGGGAGGGAAUUCUCCGAGUAAGGAGAUAAGUAAGGGUAACGGUCAUCCCAAUUGAGUAUGUGAAGAGUCUCUUUCGAGCUAGAUCUUUUGCCACACUUAACUAAACCAAAUAAAGUAAGAGAGAGUGAGAGUGGCUGCCUAUUUAAAAAGGGCAGCCCGGUGCACUAAAGCUACUGCUAUGCGCGGUGUCCGGGGAAGGGUCCCAUCACAAGGGUGUAUCGUACGCAGCCUUACCUUGCAUUUCUGCUAGAGGCU
rnacentral:lncRNA from 1 species